AGUGGUCGCGCGGGGGGAAGCAGCGCGCUAUAAGAGGGAAAAAUAAGAAAUUAAAAAGAAGCGACACGCGCUCCGUAUCAUUUUCCAAUUGGCGCUCGUUCACCGCGGCCGUGCAGUCGAUCCGACAACAGUUGCAGCAGCAGCAGCAGCAGCAGCAGCAGCCGCCGCCGCCGCCGCCGCCGCAGCAGCCGCAUUCGAAUUAAUCUGUGUACCAUAGGUGCCUAUAGCACACACGUCGUYGAGUCGUUUGGUAUCGCCAGAAUACCAUAUAAUAAUUAUUUCCUUACAUAUUAAUUUUAAGUCUACGGCCGCCACUAUUACCACACGCCGUCGCCGCCACAACCACUUCUACGUCGCGGCUGGUACAACUGCCGUUGCCACAAUUGUCGCUGACUACUGAUACGGUCGCCGCUGAUAACUCGUGGUUCUCACAUGACGGCGAUGAUAGUAUGAUACAAUAAACAGUCGUCGACCGUCGGCAUCCGAACGUUUCUCAUUAGAGUCGAAAAGCCUUCGACUUUACGCGCCUCCACUCGGCCGUGUUGAAACAUAGCACUCGCAUCACCACGAAUCAUCCGUCCGCCAUCAUGUCGUCGCCAACCAACUCCGUCCCAUAUGGCGUACAAAUUCUGCAAAAGAUUUCUAACAAGUGUCCCCGGCUCACCAGAAUCGUCGACCGUGAAA